UACGGGGGGAGCAAGCGUUGUUCGGAUUUACUGGGCGUAAAGGGCGCGUAGGCGGUCGUGACAAGUCACUUGUGAAAUCUCCGGGCUUAACUCGGAACGGUCAAGUGAUACUGUCGGACUAGAGUACAGAAGGGGCAACUGGAAUUCCUGGUGUAGCGGUGAAAUGCGUAGAGAUCAGGAAGAACAUCGGUGGCGAAGGCGCUCUGCUGGACCAUAACUGACACUCAGGGACGAAAGCUAGGGGAGCGAAUGGG
rnacentral:rRNA from 1 species